UACGUAGGUGGCAAGCGUUGUCCGGAAUUAUUGGGCGUAAAGCGCGCGCAGGCGGCUUCUUAAGUCCAUCUUAAAAGUGCGGGGCUUAACCCCGUGAUGGGAUGGAAACUGGGAGGCUGGAGUAUCGGAGAGGAAAGUGGAAUUCCUAGUGUAGCGGUGAAAUGCGUAGAGAUUAGGAAGAACACCGGUGGUGAAGGCGACUUUCUGGACGACAACUGACGCUGAGGCGCGAAAGCGUGGGGAGCAAACAGG
rnacentral:rRNA from 1 species